CAGCAGCCGCGGUAAUACGAAGGGUGCAAGCGUUAAUCGGAAUUACUGGGCGUAAAGCGUGCGUAGGCGGUUUGUUAAGUCUGUUGUGAAAUCCCCGGGCUUAACCUGGGAACUGCGCUUGUGACUGCACAGCUAGAGUAUGGCAGAGGGGGGUGGAAUUCCACGUGUAGCAGUGAAAUGCGUAGAGAUGUGGAGGAACACCGAUGGCGAAGGCGGCCCCCUGGGCCAAUACUGACGCUCAUGCACGAAAGCGUGGGGAGCAAACAGGAUUAGAUACCCCGGUAGUCCCUGUCUCUUAUAC
rnacentral:rRNA from 1 species